AACGAACGCUGGCGGCAGGCUUAACACAUGCAAGUCGAGCGCCCCGCAAGGGGAGCGGCAGACGGGUGAGUAACGCGUGGGAACAUGCCCAAAGGUACGGAACAACUCCGGGAAACUGGAGCUAAUACCGUAUGUGCCCUUCGGGGGAAAGAUUUAUCGCCUUUGGAUUGGCCCGCGUCUGAUUAGCUAGUUGGUGGGGUAACGGCCUACCAAGGCGACGAUCAGUAGCUGGUCUGAGGGGAUGAUCAGCCACACUGGGACGGAGACACGGCCCAGACUCCUACGGGAGGCAGCAGUGGGGAAUAUUGGACAAUGGGCGCAAGCCUGAUCCAGCCAUGCCGCGUGAGUGAUGAAGGCCUUAGGGUUGUAAAGCUCUUUCGCCAGGGACGAUAAUGACGGUACCUGGAUAAGAAGCCCCGGCUAACUUCGUGCCAGCCGCCGCCGUAACAC
rnacentral:rRNA from 1 species